rnacentral:tRNA from 1 species
GAGGGUGUAGCUCAGUAGCAGAGCGCAUACUUACAUGCAUAAGGCCCUGGGUUCAAUCCCCAGCACCACUC